rnacentral:rRNA from 1 species
GACGAACGCUGGCGGCGUGCUUAACACAUGCAAGUCGAACGGUGAAGCGCCUUCCUUUUUGGUGGGUGUGGAUGAGUGGCGAACGGGUGAGUAACACGUGAGUAACCUGCCCCCUUCUUCUGGAUAACCGCAUGAAAGUGUGGCUAAUACGGGAUAUUCUGGGUCUGUCGCAUGAUGGGUCUGGGAAAGAUAUUGUUUCGGUGGGGGAUGGGCUCGCGGCCUAUCAGCUUGUUGGUGGGGUGAUGGCCUACCAAGGCGGUGACGGGUAGCCGGCCUGAGAGGGUGGACGGUCCCACUGGGACUGAGACACGGCCCAGACUCCUACGGGAGGCAGCAGUGGGGAAUAUUGCACAAUGGGCGCAAGGCUGAUGCAGCGACGCCGCGUGAGGGAUGGAGGCCUUCGGGUUGUGAACCUCUUUCACCAGUGAAGCAGGCCUGCCUCGUUUGUGGGUGGGUUGACGGUAGCUGGAUAAGAAGCGCCGGCUAACUACGUG